CUCGGGGUGCGUAGGUGUAAUGAUUAAAAGGGACAGUUGGGGGCAUUCGUAUUUCAUUGUCAGAGGUGAAAUUCUUGGAUUUAUGAAAGACGAACUUCUGCGAAAGCAUUUGUCAAAGAUGUUUUCAUUAAUCAAGAACGAAAGUUAGGGGAUCGAAGACGAUCAGAUACCGUCGUAGUCUUAACCAUAAACUAUGCCGACCAGGGAUUGGAAGAUGUCUUAUCCUGUGUUUAAACCGCAGGAAAACUCCUUCAGUACCUUACGAGAAAUCAUAAGUCUUUGGGUUCUGGGGGGAGUAUGGUCGCAAGGCUGAAACUUAAAGGAAUUGACGGAAGGGCACCACCAGGAGUGGAGCCUGCGGCUUAAUUUGACUCAACACGGGAAAACUCACCAGGUCCAGACACAGUUAGGAUUGACAGAUUGAGAGCUCUUUCUUGAUUCUGUGGGUGGUGGUGCAUGGCCGUUCUUAGUUGGUGGAGUGAUUUGUCUGGUUAAUUCCGAUAACGAACGAGACCUCAGCCUGCUAAUUAGUGGUGCAAAUGAUUACGUCCGUAAGGAGAGGGUUCUGAUGAGAGCGUUGGGUUUGACUUGGCGAUCUUAUUGGAAAACUUGUUUUCAUUUGUUAGAACUUUGAUACUUCGGUAGAUAGGCUCGAUAAUGACUUCUUAGAGGGACACUUGGUGUUUAACCAAGGGAAGUUUGAGGCAAUAACAGGUCUGUGAUGCCCUUUAGAUGUUCUGGGCUGCACGCGCGCUACACUGAUACGAUCAACGAGUACUGAAGACCUGGUCCGGAAGGAUUGGGUAAACUUUUGAAAUCGUAUCGUGCUGGGGAUCGAUAAUUGUAAUUAUUUAUCGUGAACGAGGAAUUCCUAGUAGGCGCAAGUCAACAGCUUGCGCCGAUUACGUCCCUGCCCUUUGUACACACCGCCCGUCGCUGCUACCGAUGUUUGGUCCGGUGAAAUGUUAGGACUCGCGACAGUCACUUGCUUUGCUUUCGGGUAGAGCGAGUUUGUUGUGGGGAAUUCAGUAAACCUGCU
rnacentral:rRNA from 1 species